UCGGUGGGCCGUUCUAUCGCUCGGGAAACCGGGAGGAAAGUCCGGACAAGAGAGGGCAUUGUACUGCGGAAAGCGCAGAUGGGCGAAAGCUUAUGCCAGGGGUAACAGAAAAUAACCGCCACGGGCAACUGUGGCAAGGGUGAAAACGUGAGGCAAGAGCUCACGGGUGUGUACGGCGACGUACAUGCAGUACUCCACUACAACUUGCAAGGCCAUGUAUACCAACAUUCAAGGGUUGCCCGUCCGUUGUUGGGGGGUAGGCUGCAACAGAUAAAUGAUAGAAGCUUCUUAGGGUGGUCCGUCCACCAGUCUGAAGUACAGAAUUCGGCUUACAGGUCCACCUAUAAU
rnacentral:RNase_P_RNA from 1 species